rnacentral:rRNA from 1 species
GCAGCAGCCGCGGUAAUACGGAGGGUGCAAGCGUUAAUCGGAAUUACUGGGCGUAAAGCGCACGCAGGCGGUCUGACAAGUCAGAUGUGAAAUCCCCGGGCUUAACCUGGGAACUGCAUUUGAAACUGUCAGGCUGGAGUCUUGUAGAGGGGGGUGGAAUUCCAGGUGUAGCGGUGAAAUGCGUAGAGAUCUGGAGGAAUACCGGUGGCGAAGGCGGCCCCCUGGACAAAGACUGACGCUCAGGUGCGAAAGCGUGGGGAGCAAACAGGAUUAGAUACCCCUGUAGUCCCUGUCUCUUAUAC